UACGAAGGGAGCUAGCGUUGUUCGGAAUCACUGGGCGUAAAGCGCACGUAGGCGGAUUUGCCAGUCAGGGGUGAAAUCCCGGGGCUCAACCUCGGAACUGCCUUUGAUACAGCAAGUCUUGAGUUCGAGAGAGGUGGGUGGAAUUCCUAGUGUAGAGGUGAAAUUCGUAGAUAUUAGGAAGAACACCGGUGGCGAAGGCGGCCCACUGGCUCGACACUGACGCUGAGGCACGAAAGCGUGGGGAGCAAACAGG
rnacentral:rRNA from 1 species